rnacentral:sRNA from 1 species
GUGUCUCUCCGAAACUUCGAUGUCACUGGCCGCAAAUAGGGCGUAAAUCUUCAGGUUUGUAACGCGGCUAUGACCCUCCGACAAGGUUGUUCUUAACAAGGUGAUAUCGGAGGAAUCGCAGUCGUUGGCGAGGAAACCGGCUUUUAGUUUGUGAUAAACAUCAGCUAAAAAUAUACUGGAGAUUUCACGUCCAGGAAGGUUGCACGUAUUCCACAGCCAUUGUCUCUUGUCUGGAGAGUUCCACGUGUGUGUAAAACAAUGGCUAUGUUUGCUAUUCCAGUCCAGAAAGUCUGUUUGGUCACACCCGUGUACGUUGGGAUCGAACCCAGUUCGCCAUACGUACAUUGCAUAGUGUCCUCGUGAACCCCCGGUGUCCGUGAGGAAACACGAAGCUCCGGACACAAGUCCUAUAAACAACAAACCAACUAUCGUCUCCAUUUUAUAUCGACAACAAAUGUUAUCAGUGAAGAUAAACUGUUACACUGUGAAGAAAGUUCUCUGUCCCUAAAUACGACUUUAACAAGAAGAAUUAAACUUAUAUCCGGGUUUGAAUUGUAUUUUGUACAUUAUUUACGUGUUGAGUACAUGGCAUCUAGUCAAAAAACCUCUUUGUGCAGAAUACCUUAAAACAUUAACUGAUGAGUAUAUGAAUUUUGCAA